AUUGAACGCUGGCGGCAUGCCUUACACAUGCAAGUCGAACGGUAACAGGUCUUCGGAUGCUGACGAGUGGCGAACGGGUGAGUAAUACAUCGGAACGUGCCCGAUCGUGGGGGAUAACGGAGCGAAAGCUUUGCUAAUACCGCAUACGAUCUACGGAUGAAUGCAGGGGACCGCAAGGCCUUGCGCGGACGGAGCGGCCGAUGGCAGAUUAGGUAGUUGGUGGGAUAAAAGCUUACCAAGCCGACGAUCGGUAGCUGGUCUGAGAGGGCGACCAGCCACACUGGGACUGAGACACGGCCCAGACUCCUACGGGAGGCAGCAGUGGGGAAUUUUGGACAAUGGGCGAAAGCCUGAUCCAACCAUGCCGCGUGCAGGAUGAAGGCCUUCGGGUUGUAAACUGCUUUUGUACGGAACGAAAAGGCUCUUUCUAAUAAAGAGGGUUCAUGACGGUACCGUAAGAAUAAGCACCGGCUAACUACGUGCCAGCAGCCGCCGUAA
rnacentral:rRNA from 1 species